UGGCUCAGGACGAACGCUGGCGGCGUGCCUAACACAUGCAAGUCGAGCGGGGAGAGCCUUCGGGGCUCUCCAGCGGCGGACGGGUGAGUAACGCGUGAGCAACCUUUCCUUCACAGGGGGAUAACGCAGCGAAAGUUGUGCUAAUACCGCUUAAGACCACAAUGUCGCAUGGCAAAGGGGGUCAAAGGAGGAAUCCGGUGAAGGGUGGGCUCGCGUCUGAUUAGCUAGUUGGCGGGGUAACAGCCCACCAAGGCGACGAUCAGUAGCCGACCUGAGAGGGUGAUCGGCCACACUGGGACUGAGACACGGCCCAGACUCCUACGGGAGGCAGCAGUGGGGAAUAUUGGGCAAAUGGGGGAAACCCUGACCCAGCAACGCCGCGUGAGGGAAGAAGGUUUUCGGAUCGUAAACCUCUGUCCUCAGGGACGAAAUAAAUGACGGUACCUGAGGAGGAAGCCCCGGCUAACUACGUGCCAGCCGCAGC
rnacentral:rRNA from 1 species